rnacentral:rRNA from 1 species
GACGAACGCUGGCGGCGUGCCUAAUACAUGCAAGUAGAACGCUGAAGGGGAGAGCUUGCUCUUCUGGAUGAGUUGCGAACGGUGAGUAACGCGUAGGUUAACCUGCCUGGUAGCCGGGGGAUAACUAUUGGAAACGAUAGCUAAUACCGCAUAACAUUGACUAUUGCAUGAUAGCCAAUUGAAAAAGUGCAAAUGCACCACUACCAGAUGGACCUGCGUUGUAUUAGCUAGUUGGUGGGGUAACGGCUCACCAAGGCGACGAUACAUAGCCGACCUGAGAGGGUGAUCGGCCACACUGGGACUGAGACACGGCCCAGACUUCUACGGGAGGCAGCAGUAGGGAAUCUUCGGCAAUGGACGGAAGUCUGACCGAGCAACGCCGCGUGAGUGAAGAAGGUUUUCGGAUCGUAAAGCUCUGUUGUAAGAGAAGAACGAGUGUGAGAGUGGAAAGUUCACACUG